GCAGCCAUCUACUGAGCAAAUUGUGUAGGAAAUUGCGGCAUUUGUGGGGCGGGUGCCACUUAACCACUGGUAUUUUGAAGAGCUGGGGCUUCCUCUUGUGUCUCAGCCUCUACAGAUUGGUCAACUGAGCGGUUCCCUUCUUCCAUUUCAAAUCGUAGGAUAUCUCUUGAACAAAUGAUACAAGGACAUUUCUCUCCAUUAGUUCAUAUUUAUGA
rnacentral:misc_RNA from 1 species